ensembl:lncRNA
AGUGCUGGAGUGGAAAAGAUAAAGAUGGGUUGAUGCUGUUAGCCGGUUGACAGUGAGAGAGGGGUGCAGAGCUGUGCUGAUGAAGGACAGAUGGAGGAAGAUUGGACUGUGAUGGGUGAAGAUGGAAAGCAGAAAAAAAGAGAAACUCUUCUCACUAGAUGGGCAGGAAAAUGAGGCUGUGAUACUAAGGGUUGAGGGUUGUGAUAGGCUGAAUGUGAUACUGAGGGUUGAGGGUUGUGAUAGGCUGAAUGUGAUUCUGAGGGUUGUGAUAGGCUGAAUGUGAUUCUGAGGGUUGUGAUAGGCUGAAUGUGAUACUGAGGGUUGAGGGUUGUGAUAGGCUGAAUGUGAUACUGAGGGUUAAGGGUUGUGAUAGGCUGAAUGUGAUACUGAGGGUUUAGGGUUGUGAUAGGCUGAAUGUGAUUCUGAGGGUUGAGGGUUGUGAUAGGCUGAAUGUGAUUCUGAGGGUUGAGGGUUGUGAUAGGCUGAAUGUGAUACUGAGGGUUGUGAUAGGCUGAAUGUGAUACUGAGGGUUUAGGGUUGUGAUAGGCUGAAUGUGAUUCUGAGGGUUGAGGGUUGUGAUAGGCUGAAUGUGAUUCUGAGGGUUGAGGGUUGUGAUAGGCUGAAUGUGAUACUGAGGGUUGUGAUAGGCUGAAUGUGAUACUGAGGGUUGUGAUAGGCUGAAUGUGAUUCUGAGGGUUUAUAGACUCUGGAUGACAUUUAGAAUCUGUUGUUGUGAAUGAGCUCAUUUAUCUCUCAUAGGUAGCGUGUCACUUCUAACGGCAUAAUGUGUAUGCAUGGGCACGAGCGGGAGAGAAUAGCUUUCCUGUGAACUGUUUUGAAAUCCAUCAACUGGCGUCUUCGUGGUUCCUUCACUGUGGAUUGUUUUCCUGUGUGGCUCUUCAUUCACGAUGGACCACACUGCUUGCAGUGCCCAUCUGCUCGUCUGCGAAUCUAAUGUGGCGUUGCACCAUAGCAACACGUUGUAUUCAUAAUUGCUGCUUUAAUAGCCUUUUAAUUGCUUUUGUUUAUUGUUAUGCCGUCAUGCCU